rnacentral:misc_RNA from 1 species
UUAAGUUCAGCGGGUAGUCCUACCUGAUUUGAGGUCAGAUUUCAAAGUUUGUUGCUUGACCGCCACUCUCGAUAGGCAGGUCGGGGAAGGGCGCAGAAAGGGGAACGUCUCUGUCGAGCGAGGAUGGUACAACGCCCAGUCGAGUUCGACCCACAGGCCCAACCGAUGCAUUUGAGGGGAGCCGCCUCAACGGCAGCAGA